rnacentral:rRNA from 1 species
AGAGUUCGAUCAUGGCUCAGGACGAACGCUGGCGGUGCGCCUUAUGCAUGCAAGUCGAGCGAAGCUUUUCAGUAGUUUACUACAGAAAAUGACUGGGCGGCGAACGGGUGAGUAACGCGUGAGCAAUCUACCUUAGUUACAGGGAUAGCCCGAGGAAACUCGGAUUAAUACCUGAUAUUCUUUAUUUCUCGCAUGAGAAUAAAAGGAAAGGUCAGCCGAACUAAGAUGAGCUCGCGUUCUAUCAGCUUGUUGGUGAGGUAAAAGCUUACCAAGGCUACGACGGAUAGCUGGUCUGAGAGGACGAUCAGCCACACUGGGACUGAGACACGGCCCAGACUCCUACGGGAGGCUGCAGCAGGGAAUAUUGUGCAAUGAACGAAAGUUUGACACAGCGACACCGCGUGUGGGAUGACGGAUCUAGGUUUGUAAACCACUUUCAGGAGGGAAGAAAAUGACGGUACCUCCACAAGAAGCCCCGGCCAACUACGUGCCAGCAGCCGCGGUAAUUC